UUGAACGCUGGCGGCAUGCCUUACACAUGCAAGUCGAACGGUAACAGGUCUUCGGAUGCUGACGAGUGGCGAACGGGUGAGUAAUACAUCGGAACGUGCCUAGUAGUGGGGGAUAACUACUCGAAAGAGUAGCUAAUACCGCAUGAGAUCUACGGAUGAAAGCAGGGGACCUUCGGGCCUUGUGCUACUAGAGCGGCCGAUGGCAGAUUAGGUAGUUGGUGGGAUAAAAGCUUACCAAGCCGACGAUCUGUAGCUGGUCUGAGAGGACGACCAGCCACACUGGGACUGGGACACGGCCCAGACUCCUACGGGAGGCAGCAGUGGGGAAUUUUGGACAAUGGGCGAAAGCCUGAUCCAGCAAUGCCGCGUGCAGGAUGAAGGCCUUCGGGUUGUAAACUGCUUUUGUACGGAACGAAAAAGCUCCUUCUAAUACAGGGGGCCCAUGACGGUACCGUAAGAAUAAGCACCGGCUAACUACGUGCCAGCAGCCGCCGCCGUAA
rnacentral:rRNA from 1 species